CAGCCGCCACGGGAAUACGUAGGUGGCAGGCGUUGUCCGGAAUUAUUGGGCGUAAAGGGCUCGCAGGCGGUUUCUUAAGUCUGAUGUGAAAGCCCCCGGCUCAACCGGGGAGGGUCAUUGGAAACUGGGAAACUUGAGUGCAGAAGAGGAGAGUGGAAUUCCACGUGUAGCGGUGAAAUGCGUAGAGAUGUGGAGGAACACCAAUGGCGAAGGCGACUCUCUGGUCUGUAACUGACGCUGAGGAGCGAAAGCGUGGGGAGCGAACAGGAUUAGAUACCCCGGUAGUCCCUGUCUCUUAUAC
rnacentral:rRNA from 1 species